AAGUGGGACGCCAGUGGAAGCCCAGGUGACCACCGCAUCGGCUGCAGAAGACACGCUUCGAUUUCAGGCGACUUUGCAGACAGGAAUAGACGAACGUCAAAGCAAAGAUGGGAAAGCAACUGAAAGGAGAUUUAAACGAAUGUUAAUCCAUGGACUUAGAUUCCUUUCCGAAUUCCGAAGUUUCCUACCAGGAUAAAGUGGACAAGAGGCAACUGAGCUGGCCCAGUGCUCCUGUCAUCUCCACGGUUUCCGUUUUCGAAUUCUGCUGGCACAAUGGACACCGCACCUGGUAGCUGCUGGGUCCGAUGCUGAAGAAUCGCACCUGGGGUUUGCUAGGGCGCUCCUCCAGCGUGACAGUGGUGGCCGCCGACUGGCUAUCCCUGUCCCCCUCCUGGAGAUCCACCUCCAGAUCCGCAUCCAAGUCGUUUCCCCGAGACAUUGCGACUGGCCGGCGUCAAGUGCUAAACAUUUUGGCGAAUCCCGAGGCAGUGAAAUUCGAAAAAGAGAUCUAUCUGACCAAAGAGAUCUAAUUGAAGAGAAACCACUGAGAGAAUCAUGCAGCAAUCAACAAUUUUUUGGCACUCGGCUCUUCAGUCUCAGCAGCGCUCAUCACUCGCCGCAAGGUCAACAAAAAGUGCUUAAAAACUAAACAAAACAAACAAUUAUAAGCGGAGCACCCACUCCGUUUGCCCCAACCCACGACCCCCAUCCCUUCAUCUCACUGUCUUUUCCAUGCCCCCAAGAGGUAACCACACUUGCCGCAGAUGACCUUGCAAUCGUUGGUGGAGCGCCUCGGGCAGCAGGGAUAGAUGGGCAGCAGGGCAAAGCAGCUGGAAAUGGAUAAGGAAAUAAUCUGAAUUAG
ensembl:ncRNA asRNA:CR45268 antisense RNA:CR45268